GCAUGCACUAGGGGGAGAGAGAGAGUUUUCUGCACACACACGGUGGCGCGAGACGCAUCGAUAGAAAUGUGCGUGCAUAAAAAACGGACGUUACAUUCGUGCGCGUGCAUUAAAAAGCGUUAUUCACGCGAGGGAUUUUUUUGAUCGUAUAUUUGGUUCGGAUAGACUUGGCGUCACUGUUCAGUCAUGAUACUCUCUUCUUCCUCGACAAUCCUAUGUAUUUCGUAUCUCGGUUUCUUCCAAUAAGCACCGAUGCAUCCAUGCACCCGCCUCCCUGCGCUCUCAAAUAGAUGGUGCAAGUAAAGAUGUCCAAAUCUUCCGCAGACCCUCUGUCUGGUGUGGAAAACGCUUCUCAGUCGCACUAUUUUCAGAUACCACGAAAGUUGCCGAAGCGCAAGGGCAGGUUUAAACGAUCGGAUGGCAGCACUUCUUCAGACACCACCUCCAGCUUCAUCAAGCGACAGGUCAGCCAAGCCAGCAGUAGGAGGGAGAUUUGAUGUUAUUUAAGAGAAACGUUUGAACUGGUGACAAAGAAUACAGAAAGGAAAGAAAUAGGUUAUUUCAAGCUCACUUGAAGCCGGCGCACUUCGGCAUCUAUGUCAACCCUCCUAACAUCAAUUAAUUUCUGCCGUAAUGAGUGACCCGAAUUCUUUGGUUAUACCGUGUGGGCUCAUUUUUCCUUAUAUUUAGGCUUUGAAAUGGGAAAAUUUGUGAAUACAUACUCUAAAUUCUUUAUACAUAAUAUGUACCAUUAUCAUAUAUUAGCAAACACAUACAUUUACAAGCACACUGAAGUUGUUUAAAGGGUAUUAAUGGGGCAAUCGACUGUCCAGGCAUGUGUCUGUAUUUGAGCACAGACGAGUUUUAAUAUUCUUAUGUGAGGUAGAAAUGAAAAGAAAAGAUGACAUAUUGAGUGGGUUGUUAAUUUUCAUGACCGGGAGGUCAGACAGUUUUAAUUUUCUCCCAAAAUAUCACAGUUCCUAAAAUAUUAAAAGAAUAAAAUAUUAAUGGAGCUCAUUUGGCGAGUCUGCCGGUAGAAGUUAAAUCAUCAUGCUUUCUGUAUGGCCAUAAUAAUUUACCCGUGCCGUGCAGGGAUCCUGAA